GCUUGUAAUGUUGAUGUUGUCGUUUGUUGCUGAGUGAAAUAUUUGUUUUUCGUGUAUUUCUCUGUGCAUUAAUUAGGCCGUUAGUUUCUGUUGUUUGAAUUAAUUUCCAGGACCUCUUAUAUGUGACUAUAUAAUAUGGGGUUGCUUAUCAUCGAAGGUCAUACGUCGACCUUUAGUUGUUAAUUUCUGUGUCAUUUUGGUCUCUUGUGAAGAAUUGUUUUAUUGGCAAUCAUACCACAUCUUCUUUUUUAGCUCACCUGACCCGAAGGGCCAAGUGAGCUUUUCUC
rnacentral:lncRNA from 1 species